rnacentral:rRNA from 1 species
AGUCGAACGAAGGCCCGGAGCUUGCUCCGGAUCCCUUAGUGGCGCACGGGUGAGUAACGCGUGGGAAUCUGCCCCGGAGCGGGGAAUAACAGUUGGAAACGACUGCUAAUACCGCAUACGCCCUGAGGGGGAAAGGCUUCGGCCACUCUGGGAUGAGCCCGCGUUAGAUUAGCUUGUUGGUGAGGUAAAGGCUCACCAAGGCGACGAUCUAUAGCUGGUCUGAGAGGAUGAUCAGCCACACUGGGACUGAGACACGGCCCAGACUCCUACGGGAGGCAGCAGUGGGGAAUAUUGGACAAUGGGGGAAACCCUGAUCCAGCCAUGCCGCGUGAGCGAAGAAGGCCCUAGGGUUGUAAAACUCUUUCAGUGGCGACGAUGAUGACGGUAACCACAGAAGAAGCCCCGGCUAACUCCGUGCCAGCAGCCGCGGUAAUACGGAGGGGGCUAGCGUUGUUCGGAAUUACUGGGCGUAAAGCGCACGUAGGCGGCGUGAAUAGUUAGGGGUGAAAGGCCUGGGCUCAACCUAGGAACUGCCUCUAAUACUGGCACGCUAGAAUCCGAGAGAGGGUAGCGGAAUUCCAAGUGUAGAGGUGAAAUUCGUAGAUAUUUGGAAGAACACCGGUGGCGAAGGCGGCUACCUGGAUCGGUAUUGACGCUGAGGUGCGAAAGCGUGGGGAGCGAACAGGAUUAGAUACCCUGGUAGUCCACGCCGUAAACGAUGAGUGCUAGUU